rnacentral:rRNA from 1 species
AAUGAACGCUGGCGGCGUGCUUAACACAUGCAAGUCGAACGAGAAAGGGAUUGCUUGCAAUCCUGAGUAGAGUGGCGCACGGGUGAGUAACACGUAGAUAAUCUACCCCCAAGCCCGGGAUAACCGUUCGAAAGGACGGCUAAUACCGGAUGCAGUUCAUUCACACAAGUGGAUGGAUGAAAGACUGCCUCUUCAUGAAAGCAGUUGUUUGGGGAUGAGUUUGCGUACCAUUAGCUAGUUGGUGAGGUAACGGCUCACCAAGGCUACGAUGGUUAGCUGGUCUGAGAGGAUGAUCAGCCACACUGGAACUGACACACGGUUCAGACUCCUACGGGAGGCAGCAGUGAGGAAUAUUGCGCAAUGGGGGAAACCCUGACGCAGCAACGCCGCGUGAGUGAUGAAGGCCUUUGGGUCGUAAAGCUCUGUCUGGUGGGAAGAACCAGGACUGUUCGAAUAGGGCAGUCCCCUGACCGUACCACCAAAGAAAGCACCGGCUAACUCCGUGCCAGCAGCCGCGGUAAUACGGAGGGUGCAAGCGUUAUUCGGAUUUAUUGGGCGUAAAGGGCGCGUAGGCGGCCGCUUAAGUCAGAUGUGAAAGCCCGGGGCUUAACCCCGGAAGUGCGUUUGAUACUGGGUGGCUUGAGUAUGGGAGAGGGAAAGUGGAAUUCCUGGUUUAAAGGGUGAAAUUCGUAGAUUUCAGGAGGAAACAUCGGUGGCGAAGGCGACUUCCUGGACCAAUACUGACGCUGAGGCGCGAAGGCGUGGGUAGCAAACA